UUGCAUCAGAUUUGUCACACAACAAUAAUAAUAAAUUCCAGGCAGAUCACAGCCACAAAAAGUACUUAUGGCUUAGAUAUUUUCUCAGAUUUAGAUUGGCAUGAGAAACUAAGAGGAGAUCUCCUCCAUUGAAAAGGACAAAUAUCAGAACUGACAAACAUAAUUCAAGAAUAGCAUAAUAAUGAUGCACAUAGCUUGAUUGAACUCAUAUACGAUAUUAAAAAUAUCAGAUUUAGUUUAUUGGAUUCUAUUCCCUGCAAACCACAUGGUUGUCACUUCAAGAAAUCUGCAACCAAAGCCUGUAACUUCUAAGAAUAGACCAAAAAAGAAAUAUGCAGCCAAACACAAUUAAGGUGAUUUUUUUUCUUGACAUGAGCUAUGUUGGUUGUAUAAUUUAGUGAUUCUAUCCAUUUCUAAACUUAUGCCCCCCAAAAAAACCUGUAGCAUGAAUGGAGGUCAUCACUGACAGACACAAUCAACAACAACUGUCUCUCACUCUCACUCAUGUAUGCUUAACAGGCUUGCUCCAUAAAUUUAAUAAUCUUCUUUUUUUUUUUGCAGCAGCCAGGGGAGUGCUUGAUAAAAAAAGACACGCCUAUAUAUAUUGGUUAAAUGACUCUAACUGAGACUUAAACUCGAAACCUCACAGCCCUGAAUACAACUCCAAUAAUACUGAGCAAGUAGCUCAGGGGUAAGAAGGCAUGUCUAUAAUUUAAUUUUUCUAUUGCCAUGCAAACAUAGCUACAUAGUUUUAAGCAUAAUUAUCAAAGGUACAAGGCGCACCAAUGCGCCAAGGGGUCCUGUAGCCUUGGUGCAAGGCACAGGCUUUGCGCCUGAGCAAGGCGAGGCACGGUACAAAAAUAAAAAGAAAUUCAUAAAAAUAAUAUUAAUUACAUAGAAAAGUAUAUGUAAUAUAUUAUUUAUUUCAUUAUUUUUUUUUCAUUU
rnacentral:misc_RNA from 1 species